UACGGGGGGGGCAAGCGUUGUACGGAAUUACUGGGCGUAAAGGGCUCGUAGGCGGCCAACUAAGUCAUACGUGAAAUCCCUCGGCUUAACCGGGGAACUGCGUCUGAUACUGGAUGGCUUGAGUUCGGGAGAGGGAUGCGGAAUUCCAGGUGUAGCGGUGAAAUGCGUAGAUAUCUGGAGGAACACCGGUGGCGAAGGCGGCAUCCUGGACCGAUACUGACGCUGAUGAGCGAAAGCCAGGGGAGCAAACGGG
rnacentral:rRNA from 1 species